CCUACGGGUGGCAGCAGUGGGGAAUAUUGCACAAUGGGGGAAACCCUGAUGCAGCGACGCCGCGUGAAGGAAGAAGUAUUUCGGUAUGUAAACUUCUAUCAGCAGGGAAGAAAAUGACGGUACCUGACUCAUAAGCCCCGGCUAACUACGUGCCAGCAGCCGCGGUAAUACGGAGGGGGCCAGCGUUAUCCGGAUUUACUGGGUGUAAAGGGAGCGUAGGCGGUAAUGCAAGUCAGAAGUGAAAGCCCGGGGCUCAACUCCGGGACUGCUUUUGAAACUGGGUUGCUAGAGUGCAGGAGAGGUAAGUGGAAUGCCUGGUGUAGCGGUGAAAUGCGUAGAUAUUAGGAGGAACACCAGUGGCGAAGGCGGCCUGCUGGGCUUUUACUGACGCUGAGGCUCGAAAGUGUGGGGAGCAAACAGGAUUAGAUACCCGUGUAGUC
rnacentral:rRNA from 1 species